CAAUCUGCCCUUGAGAGGGAAACAACCGGCCGAAAGGCUGGCUAAUGUCCCAUAAGACCACAGGAUGGCAUCAUCCAGGGGUCAAAGCUCCGCAAGGGGCGCUUGAGGAGGAGCCCGAGUCCUAUCAGCUAGUUGGUGAGGUAACGGCUCACCAAGGCUUUGACGGGUAGCCGGCCUGAAAGGGUGAUCGGCCACACUGGCACUGAGACACGGGCCAG
rnacentral:rRNA from 1 species